rnacentral:rRNA from 1 species
ACGGGUGAGUAACACGUGGGCAAUCUGCCCUUCACUCUGGGACAAGCCCUGGAAACGGGGUCUAAUACCGGAUAUCACUUCCACUCGCAUGGGUGGGGGUUGAAAGCUCCGGCGGUGAAGGAUGAGCCCGCGGCCUAUCAGCUUGUUGGUGAGGUAAUGGCUCACCAAGGCGACGACGGGUAGCCGGCCUGAGAGGGCGACCGGCCACACUGGGACUGAGACACGGCCCAGACUCCUACGGGAGGCAGCAGUGGGGAAUAUUGCACAAUGGGCGAAAGCCUGAUGCAGCGACGCCGCGUGAGGGAUGACGGCCUUCGGGUUGUAAACCUCUUUCAGCAGGGAAGAAGCGAAAGUGACGGUACCUGCAGAAGAAGCGCCGGCUAACUACGUGCCAGCAGCCGCGGUAAUACGUAGGGUGCAAGCGUUGUCCGGAAUUAUUGGGCGUAAAGAGCUCGUAGGCGGUCUGUCACGUCGGAUGUGAAAGCCCGGGGCUUAACCCCGGGUCUGCAUUCGAUACGGGCAGACUAGAGUGUGGUAGGGGAGAUCGGAAUUCCUGGUGUAGCGGUGAAAUGCGCAGA